UCCCCGGGCUCCCCCACUGCUUCCCUCCGUCCCUCCCCACGAUGUUGUUUCGUUAUAUCAUGUCCAUCAUGUGACACCCGGAGGCCUCUCUAUGGAAACUUAAAGGGGACUUUCACGUCCGCCGCCGCCGGACCUGCCGAAAGGAAUAACCGGGGAAUAACCGGCCGGGCAGGCACCGUGCGGAAGGAUGGACCCCGCUCCGGAGGCGGGAUCCGGUGUUCGUCUGCGGCCGCGGCGGGUCUCUGGUGCUGGAAGAGGCAGAAAAACAACAACAAAAAAUCCAAAACAACCAAAAGAAAAAUAAAAAUAAAGGAAAUAAGGAGGAAAAAACCCUUGUUUGUGUCGGACUGAGGAGGAGCAGAUGUGAGCGGUUCUGCCCGUGCGGGGUCGAUGCGGUGGUCGCUACCGCCGCGUUUAACUCCGCCAGUCGGUAGCGAAGCGAUUUCACCGUCCCGACCCGUCGCACCGCCGGCUCCCGACAGCCGGCUCUGUGCCGAGCUGCUGGAAGGAGCCGCUCCUGGGGAUGUGCUCUGGCCGCUGCAACACUACCAGCAAGCAGCCAGCCCUCACGGAAAGGCAAAGGGAAGAUGCCGACAAUUCCCCGUGGUUCGGACAGCCCCCGGUUCCCCGCGCAUCCCACUGCCCGGCCGCAGCCGCCCGGGGGUGCGGGGCCGGCCGGCGGCAGCGCCGCGUUCCUCCGGCUGCUGUUCCGCCUGCGGUGCUGAAGUGGGUUUUAUUGCCUGCUCUCCAGCAGCCCCCAGGAUUUGGGAUCAGGGAGCUGAAGCCCACCCGCUCCACGGUCCCACCGCCGGGCGGACAACGUGCAGGGGGCUCUCGGGGUUUUCCCUCUGGAAGGUUCCUGUGGGAGGCCCCCAAAUUCUGCUCCCAAACUGGUGGCAUCAUAUCAUGCUUAAAGGAGGAAGAGGCUGGAGCUGGGAUUUAAAGAAGUCUUUUAGGAGUACUGCCAGAACUGAUCUGUUUUACUUUGCUGCUGCUGCUGUUCUGCUGUGUCAUGGGAAGAGUUUCCUCUCCACACCAACCCUUGGAAGCGGCACCUCGGGCAGAGCCGCUCGCUGCAAACCCCGGCCGUGUUUUACAAAGCCCCGGUAAAAAGAAAGACCUUCUCAUGAGGUCGGGACAAGAUCUGAUGUUAUUACACAAGGAAAUGGCUGAAGUUGUCUGCAGAGUUCUUCAGGUGCUCUGUUGGAGAUAGCACUCCUGGAUUUUAUUGGAGGGCUGCCUCCCUAAGGAAAUAAAGGUUCUGCUGUGCAGCUUUUCUGUGCAGCUGAUCUCGCUGGGAGCAGCCACCGGAGAGGGGACACCCUGGCGCUGCACGUACCAUACACGCUCAUCUCCAUUGCAAUUAGUUUGAUGCAACAAACAGCUCCAGCGUGACAAACUCCAGGCUAAAAAAAGCCAGGACUUCGUCUGCAUAAACUGGAUGCACCAAGAAAGGACUUCAGGAUGUUCUUGAAGAUUGAUUUGCAACUCAGGAUAGCAUUCAAAGAGCUGUUGCCAGGAGGUACAUUCACUACCUUGCAGGGAUUUAUAUCAAGACAGGAGGAGGAUAUUGCUGCUACCCACCUCCUUUGCACCUUGCAGGCUCUUGGGACACCACAGCCAUGAUCCAGGGUGCCAGCCAGCAGCUCCAGAAGGGAGCAAACCUCCACAGCAUGCUCCAGAUUUCUCCUCAUCCUCCCCCUUCCUCACUGACCAGCACUGGGCACCGACUGGUUUGUUGGUACAAGAGAGGCUGCAGCCUCCUUCAGCUGUCACAUCCUGAAUCCCUGCCAGGUUUGUGUUGCAAGAACUGAUGCCAGUGUUUUUAACCCAGAGUGUAUUUGGCCCCUAGUGUUCUCCAUGACAUAGAAUAAACAUUAGGGAGGAGAUUCAGGCUUCAAUGAGAAAUGCUUUCCCAUGAUACGUUUUCAUUUUGGCAUGCACACUGCUUAUGAUGAAAGGAUCCUAAAAUAAUUGUAUUAGAUGAACCGUCUGUUCUUCUUGCUUUGAGGCCAGUACAGCAUGACAUUUCAGAGAUAAAAUGUUGUGGAACAGCCUCUGACUUACAGCCCAAUGGAACUUUUCCGAAGCCAUCCUUCUCUCUUUUUUAUUUGCUUGAGGUUUAUAACCUGAAAACGUCAAGCUUGCAUCACACCGUUGCCAAAAGAUCGUCCUGUGCAUUAGCUAAAUCUUAAAUUAUCACCAAAUUAAAUUUUUUUCUUCAGAAGUCUGAUUCACAAGCAGUCAGCUCCCCUGUGGAAAAAACUCCACCCUUCCAAUUCAAAGGAAUUCCAGGAUUCACAAGAAGUACUAGGUUUCCAAGAGGAGACUAUCUGUCCUCAGAAGAACUUAUUUCUUCCUGCAAGUUCAAGUGAGUCUACGGGACCUUAAAUCAAAGGAGCCCAAUGCCAGGUCAGUUGCUGAGUAACUGAUCCUGAUCGUCACAUUUUGACCAGCUGGAUGAAUGACAGCAACAAUUUCUUGGGAUUGCGUCUGGAGUCUUCUGCAUUUUCUUUCCUGCAAUUAACUCAGGACUGCAACCUUAACGAGGGAAAAUUAUUUUAAGUUGCAGAUGGGCGGGUUUGUGCCACGUCCUUCGCACAAAGCUGCUGCUCCAAUAAACCAAAACAGCUCGCUGUUGUCUGAAAUGAAGAAUAAUUGGAAACACCGUGCCUGCUUCUUUCAGCACAAGUAACAAUUCGGCCAUUUAGGGCUCCUCUAACACUCCUGAGAGCUGAACAACUCAAGCCUUGGCUUCCUGCUAGCCAGGAAUAUUCAAACUCACAAACUCCUGGCAGCGUUUGCCUCUGUGCUGCACGAGGACGGAGCGCUCGGGGUGAAGCCACGCAAGGGAUCUGAAUCACCACGUGAAAAAGCUGAUGGGCAGCAACUUACCUGAACCCUCCCCAGCCCAGGGCUUGCCUGGCACGUGGGAAGUAAGGAAGCCUUGAAAAUGUUCUCCAGGAAAAAGCUGCAGUGGGUCUGCUGGCGAGCUCUUUGGGGUUCCCCUUGGUUGCCUGGGUUCACGCAGAUCCCUUGUGAUCCUCCUGGGCUCGCAGUGGGAGAAUGGAGAAAACCACCCAUGUUUCACCUGGGAUGUUGAAGCUCUCAGAGAGACCUUGGAGGACACACAGGAUACCAGAGGAAGGCAUGGGCAUGACACGCUGACGAGGAACUGGCUCACCCUUGCUCAUCCAGUGGAGAAGAUGUAGGACACCCCACCAUCCACUGAUCUUUUCAGUCAAAGGUUGGACUUGAUGGUCUUGGAGGUCUGUUCCAACCUUAUGAUUCUAUGAUUCUGUGUCUUGGAGGGAUUUUCAACCACCACCAGUUUCACUGGGGAACCAAACCACCGAGAACCAAUGGUUCUUUCCUACAGAGUCCAUCUCAGCCCUUUGGCAAUGAAGAGCUGUGAAUCUUUCCUGGAAAAAAACCACUCCCAGCACAGUCUGAGCCCUGGUUGUGUUGCUUUUUUUGAAGGAUCUAAACCCAAGGUCCAGGAUGAGCAUACAGCAAUAGCGACUGGCAUGAUGAAAGUAUC